rnacentral:rRNA from 1 species
AGUACCCCGAGGAAAAGAAAUCAACCGAGAUUCCCCCAGUAGCGGCGAGCGAACGGGGAGGAGCCCAGAGCCUGAAUCAGCAUGUGUGUUAGUGGAAGCGUCUGGAAAGGCGCGCGAUACAGGGUGACAGCCCCGUACACAAAAGCGCAUGUGCUGUGAGCUCGAUGAGUAGGGCGGGACACGUGGUAUCCUGUCUGAAUAUGGGGGGACCAUCCUCCAAGGCUAAAUACUCCUGACUGACCGAUAGUGAACCAGUACCGUGAGGGAAAGGCGAAAAGAACCCCGGCGAGGGGAGUGAAAAAGAACCUGAAACCGUGUACGUACAAGCAGUGGGAGCCCCACCACUAAGCCAGUGGUGAACUCCACAUCCGCAUCCUUUGCUGAGGAUACGGUUAACGGAGCGAAAGCGACGUUCAACCGCAAAACAAGCAGAGGGGGCUUAGUGGUGGGGUGACUGCGUACCUUUUGUAUAAUGGGUCAGCGACUUAUAUUCUGUAGCAAGGUUAACCGAAUAGGGGAGCCGGAGGGAAACCGAGUCUUAAUUGGGCGUUAAGUUGCAGGGUAUAGACCCGAAACCCGGUGAUCUAGCCAUGGGCAGGUUGAAGGUUGGGUAACACUAACUGGAGGACCGAACCGACUAAUGUUGAAAAAUUAGCGGAUGACCUGUGGCUGGGGGUGAAAGGCCAAUCAAACCGGGAGAUAGCUGGUUCUCCCCGAAAGCUAUUUAGGUAGCGCCUCGUGAAUUCAUCUCCGGGGGUAGAGCACUGUUUCGGCUAGGGGGCCAUCCCGGCUUACCAACCCGAUGCAAACUGCGAAUACCGGAGAAUGUUAUCACGGGAGACACACGGCGGGUGCUAACGUCCGUCGUGAAGAGGGAAACAACCCAGACCGCCAGCUAAGGUCCCAAAGUCAUGGUUAAGUGGGAAACGAUGUGGGAAGGCCCAGACAGCCAGGAUGUUGGCUUAGAAGCAGCCAUCAUUUAAAGAAAGCGUAAUAGCUCACUGGUCGAGUCGGCCUGCGCGGAAGAUGUAACGGGGCUAAACCAUGCACCGAAGCUGCGGCAGCGAACGUAUCACCCAAGACAACUUUACGGAGUUGACGAUUGACGGAGCGAAGCGACGUCAAAGCGUUCAUUAAAGUCGAGUUGGCUUAGGGAUACGUUCGUUGGGUAGGGGAGCGUUCUGUAAGCCUGUGAAGGUGUGUCGUGAGGCAUGCUGGAGGUAUCAGAAGUGCGAAUGCUGACAUAAGUAACGAUAAAGCGGGUGAAAAGCCCGCUCGCCGGAAGACCAAGGGUUCCUGUCCAACGUUAAUCGGGGCAGGGUGAGUCGACCCCUAAGGCGAGGCCGAAAGGCGUAGUCGAUGGGAAACGGGUUAAUAUUCCCGUACUUGGUGUUACUGCGAAGGGGGGACGGAGAAGGCUAUGUUGGCCGGGCGACGGUUGUCCCGGUUUAAGCGUGUAGGUGUGUGUUCCAGGUAAAUCCGGUUCACUUUAACACUGAGGCGUGACGACGAGGCACUACGGUGCUGAAGCAACAAAUGCCCUGCUUCCAGGAAAAGCCUCUAAGCAUCAGGUAACACGAAAUCGUACCCCAAACCGACACAGGUGGUCAGGUAGAGAAUACCAAGGCGCUUGAGAGAACUCGGGUGAAGGAACUAGGCAAAAUGGUGCCGUAACUUCGGGAGAAGGCACGCUGACACGUAGGUGAAGUGAUUUACUCAUGGAGCUGAAGUCAGUCGAAGAUACCAGCUGGCUGCAACUGUUUAUUAAAAACACAGCACUGUGCAAACACGAAAGUGGACGUAUACGGUGUGACGCCUGCCCGGUGCCGGAA